AUUAUCUUCCCUCUUUCUUCAUGUCCGGUAGCCGCCGCUACCUAUGGAACACCUCCAGCUGUCGCUGCUUCGCUGAGGAACUCCGCCAACGGAAACGUCGUUUCGACCGGUUUGGACGCCAAGGCCGACAACUGAGUGCGUAUUGUUGCUGUGAGAGCCGGGAGCGACCAGAAAAUCAUUGGUAAGCCCAUCUACCACCUUCCCCUCUCCUAUCCUUCGCUAUUUCCGGUGAGCCGGCGUCGUAUAUAUCGAUUGUUGUCGUCUGCAGCCUUGUGGUCGCCGUUUUGAGUCGCCGCCGCCGUCUGUCGCCACCUCUGUGGCAUUCCGACGAUGGUCUGGCACCUUGUAGGUGGCUAAUUGUGUGUGUGUUCGCCUUUAUGGGUUGAUUUCGGAGCUAACAGUGGGAUAUGUGUGUGUUAUUUUAGGCAAGGAAGCAAGGUAAACCGCCGCCACCACCAUGUGAGGUGGUGGCUUUCAUCACAACCGCCGAUGUUGCCGCCUCGAGAUGUCCGAUAGGGUGUGUUUUUCAUGUCCAACAUGUUGUGUGUGUUGGUUAUUGCUUCAGUAGAGUGGGUGUCAUGUAGGGUGUGUUUGAUGGCCGGAAAAUGGAAAAGAUACCCACCAUGGCCGCCAGCCAUGGUGGCUGCCACCACAUGCCACCNNNNNNNNNNNNNNNNNNNNNNNNNNNNNNNNNNNNNNNNNNNNNNNNNNNNNNNNNNNNNNNNNNNNNNNNNNNNNNNNNNNNNNNNNNNNNNNNNNNNNCCCACCCCCCCCCCGGGGGGGGGGGCCUGCCGCCGUGUCGGGUGGCGGUGUGCUUUGCCUCGUUGUGAUUGAUUCGUAUGGGGUGCUUGAAACCCUAAUGGGCCCGAAGAAGCCUUAAUGAGGUUAGUGAAACCCUAUUGGGCCUAAUAAAGCCCUAGUUGACAUUAAAGCCCAAACAUGUGUCUAAUGGGCUUAAUGGACCCUAAUGGAUCCAAGGACUUAACUAAUGGGUCUAUUGGGCUAAGAUGGGUUGGAAACCCUAAUUAGGGUUUAGAAAACCCUAAUAUUGGACUUAUGGGCUUGGACUUAUUGAGACCCAUUUGUGGGCCAUUGGAAUAAUGGAAUUGUGUGAUUAAGCCCAAUCACACCAUAUGACUUAUUUAGAAAAAUGAUAGACUUAAUGGAUUAAGUCCUUAAUGGGUUAAGUGAGAAAUACUUAACCCUAAUCGUCAUUUUAUGUGAAACCCUAAUUUCACAUGGGUGUAUUGUUGGGCCUUCUAUUGGGCCUUGAGGAUUGCGUUAUUAAUGGGCCAUCCAAAGUCAAGCAAAUGGACUAGAAUAUUUAAUGGGCCUAGGGUAAGGCCCAUGUAAGGGGUUUGGGCCCAAUUUGGAAAAUUGGGCAUAGAGGGGCCACAGUUUGGGCCUUAAUGAUUAUAUGAUGUUGGGCCUUAGAAUGAGACCAUGUAUAGGCUUGGGCCCAAUUUGGAAAAUUGGGCCAUAUGUUGGACUUUGAGUCUUAGUCGACUUUGGGCCUAUGAAUUGGGCCUUGGGCUUGAAUAAGCCAAGCUAGGGGUAAUGUAGUAAUUACCCAAAGCAUGUACUUAUGGUUAUGUAGUGGAACCCAAUUAUUAAUUGGGUGAUGUUUUGAUAUUGACAGAUCGGGAAUCUGUCAUCCAGUAGCUGGGGUUGAGUCUGCGGGACGUCAGCAGUAUGGAGUUGAGUCUUCGGGACUUCAGCAGUGCGAGGUGAGUUACCCUCCAGUAGGAGUGGGUCUACGGCCACAAUGUCGACCCACUAGUAGGAGUUAAUUGUUAGAUGAUUGCCUUUGUGAUAAUUAUCUGGUGUGUUGUUAUCUGAUAUGCUUUAUGUGCUAGGAUGCUAUGACAUAUGUGUUAGUAGCGGUAGGGGUGAUAUAGCCCAUAGUUACCGGUUGAAAGAUACCGAAGGGGUAGAUAGUACCCCAGGCAUGCCUAGCAGUAUGAUCAUGAUAUGUUAUUAUGUGGUAGUGGUAAGGGGUGAAAUAGUCCCCGGUUACUGAUUGAAAGAUACCGAAAGCAGUUAUCGGUUGAAAGAUACCGAAGGGGUAGACAGAACCCAUGUAUGAUAUGUUAUUAAGUGACCAUUAUGGUUAUGAUAUGCCAUUAUGUGAUUCAGUAUGUUUAUGUUAUGUUAUCAUGGAACCAAUAUGUUUAUGACAUGUUAUUAUAUGAUAGUGGUGGGGGUGAAAUAGUCCCCGGUUACCGGUUGAAAGAUACCAAUGGCGGAUACUGGUUGAAAGAUACCGAAGGGGUAUACAGAACCCAUGCAAGGCUUAUCUGUUUGUUUAUGAUAUGUUGGUAUGUGAUCAUUAUGUUAUGAUGUUAGUAUGUGAUCGAUAUGUUAUGAUGUUAGUAUGUGAUCAGUAUGCUAUGAUAUUAGUAUGUGACCAGUAUGUUUAUGAUAUAUUAUUAUGUGAUGGUGGUGGGGGUGAAAUAGUCCCCGGAUACCUGUUGAAAGAUACCGAUGGCGGAUACCGGUUGAAAGAUACCGAUGUCGGAUACAGGUUGAAAGAUACCGAUGGCAGUUACCGGUUAAAAAAUACCGAUGAUAUUAUGUGGUAUGUGGUAUGAUGAGGGAACUCACUAAGCUUCGUGCUUACGGUUUAUAAUUUUGGUUUCAGGUGCUUUGUUUGCAAAGGAAAGGAGCCGGCUUGAUCGCAGCGCAUCACACUAUGUUUUCCGCACACUAGAUCCUUGGGAUUAUACUCUGAUAUGGUUUCAUAAUAUUAUAUUUUGAUUAUUCACACUUUGGUUUUAUGUAAUAACCUAAUUAAAAAUGAAAUUUUUGGCCUUGAAUUUUGG
rnacentral:lncRNA from 1 species